rnacentral:ribozyme from 1 species
UUUUUUUUUUUUUUUUUUUUUUCCUUUUUCCCUUUUUGUUUUUUUUUGGGAGGGAUGUGCCGAGUCUUUUAGUUUUCUUUUAGCGUCUUUCUCUCUUCGGUCGUUCGUAUAUAUGUAUAUAUA